rnacentral:rRNA from 1 species
GACGAACGCUGGCGGCGUGCUUAACACAUGCAAGUCGAACGGAAAGGCCCUGCUUUUGUGGGGUGCUCGAGUGGCGAACGGGUGAGUAACACGUGAGUAACCUGCCCUUGACUUUGGGAUAACUUCAGGAAACUGGGGCUAAUACCGGAUAGGAGCUCCUGCUGCAUGGUGGGGGUUGGAAAGUUUCGGCGGUUGGGGAUGGUCUCGCGGCUUAUCAGCUUGUUGGUGGGGUAGUGGCUUACCAAGGCUUUGACGGGUAGCCGGCCUGAGGGGGGGACCGGCCCCAUUGGGACUGAGAUACGGCCCCGACUCCUACGGGAGGCAGCAGUGGGGAAUAUUGCACAAUGGGCGGAAGCCUGAUGCAGCAACGCCGCGUGCGGGAUGACGGCCUUCGGGUUGUAAACCGCUUUCGCCUGUGACGAAGCGUGAGUGACGGUAAUGGGUAAAGAAGCACCGGCUAACUACGUG